rnacentral:lncRNA from 1 species
GCUAAGAAAAACUUUUGGAAGAAUGAUGGUGAUGGGUUUGCAGGAAGCAGUUUUCGUCCCCUCCUUGGGUCCCUGUGUGAGCUCUGGCAUCUUUUUGUGGAACAGCAGCCAAGGUUGAAGAUGAAGCCAAGGGCAUCACCAAAAACUUGAAGAUGUUGAGUUUGACCAAAUAAAAAAGUCGAGGAUAUUACGGCAUUUACUACACUAUGAGUCAUCAUCAGCUUCCCUGCUAGACUGCGCACUUCGUAAGAACUGUAUCUUAUUAUUCGUGGCAUCCCCAGCACUGUACCUGACACACAAGAGGGACUCGGUAAAUGUUUGCUGAAUAAACUAGUAUAUUAAGCUGGAGAAUCUGAAUUUACGAGUAUCUUGCAUCAAAACGCUGCCUCAGAGAGAACAGAAAGUGAAAAUACAGAUUCCUGAAAUCAUACAAUAAGAGUAAAUGGGGCAUAGGAUUGGACAGUUAAGAAGAUGGGUG